CUGUACUGUAGAAGCACCGUUGACA
rnacentral:rasiRNA from 1 species